rnacentral:misc_RNA from 1 species
UAAUAUCUAAUUUACGCAACAGAGUUUUAGUUUCAGGUAGUAUCAGAUAGCAGAAAGAGGGAAGAAUAUAAGAUUAAUCUUAAUCUUUCAAUUACAUUUGCAUUAAUUUCGUUAAAUUAAUUUAACGAAUUUAUGUAGCACGAUCGACGUGUACGACUGACCUAGUGUAUUCGUCAGUGAAUUGGGUCGAUCAAUAUUAUAUAGGAGGAGGGAAAAAGGGGCGGUUUUCCUAUAUGAGAGGUGACCAUUCUUCUUCACUAAGGGGAGAUGUUCGCCCAGCCGAACUCCCAGUAUAUGUUUCCAGUGCGCGUUGGAAAAUUCGUCCGAGACAUGCCGUCAUCUUCUGGCGAGGAUUGCUUGACUGUUAUGGAGGUACCAGAGAAUCGCUAUGAAGAGGCAAUUCAUCACUUGAGAUGGAAUUUCUUCGCCGAUGAACCACUCAACAAUGCUGUAGGACUCUGCGCGAAGGGGGAAUCCCAACGUGAGCUCGAGCAGCACUGUCUGUUUACCUUGAAACAGGGUUAUUCCAGGAUGUUAGUGAAUUCAAAGGGAGUGAUAGUAGGGAUGGCACUAAACGGCACUUUGAAGAAGGGUGAGCGCGAAGAGGCGGAACGGCGCCUCGCCGAGUUAAAUGACGAAAAAUUCAAAACGAUCUUUGGACUGCUCUAUAAGAUAAACGACAAGAUUGAUCUGUUCACCAAAUACAACGUAGAUGAGUUGUUUGAGUGCCGGAUUCUUAGCGUCGAUGAAAACUACCGUGGCAAGGGUUUGGCCAGCCUUCUUAUGGCCGAUAGCAUAAAAAUUGCCAAAGACGCUGGUUUUAAGCAUGCUCUUCAGUUAAUAUGCAUGCAUGGGAUGAUUUUCGUUUAUUUCUCCACAAGAUGUAUAUGUAUAUAAUUACAAUGCAUGUUACUCGUUUUUUUAAAAGGUACUUUACACGCAAUUCCUUGCAUGGAAGCAGAAAGCAGGUAUGCAAAGCCGACGCAACCGGCGUAUAUUCACAAAGGGUCUGCCUGAAACAUGGCUUCCAAAUAGAAGCGGAGAUACCGUACGCAGAAUUGGAUAAAUCUAUUAGGCCAGCGCCACCUC